UGCGGAAGGAUCAUUAGUGAAUAUAGGACGUCCAACUUAACUUGGAGUCCGAACUCUCACUUUCUAACCCUGUGCACUUGUUUGGGAUAGUAACUCUCGCAAGAGAGCGAACUCCUAUUCACUUAUAAACACAAAGUCUAUGAAUGUAUUAAAUUUUAUAACAAAAUAAAACUUUCAACAACGGAUCUCUUGGCUCUCGCAUCGAUGAAGAACGCAGCGAAAUGCGAUAAGUAAUGUGAAUUGCAGAAUUCAGUGAAUCAUCGAAUCUUUGAACGCACCUUGCGCUCCAUGGUAUUCCGUGGAGCAUGCCUGUUUGAGUGUCAUGAAUACUUCAACCCUCCUCUUUCUUAAUGAUUGAAGAGGUGUUUGGUUUCUGAGCGCUGCUGGCCUUUACGGUCUAGCUCGUUCGUAAUGCAUUAGCAUCCGCAAUCGAACUUCGGAUUGACUUGGCGUAAUAGACUAUUCGCUGAGGAAUUCUAGUCUUCGGACUAGAGCCGGGUUGGGUUAAAGGAAGCUUCUAAUCAGAAUGUCUACAUUUUAAGAUUAGAUCUCAAAUCAGGUAGGACUACCCGCUGAACUUAAGCAUA
rnacentral:rRNA from 1 species